ACUACCAUAAUGACAGUUUAUUUUAUAAAUUAUUAAGACAAGUAUUGCUUAACGUAAAAAAUUAACAAGCAUUUCCAUGUCUCUUUUUUGAUUUUAUAAAUUUUCGAUUAAAAGAAAUCUGAAAAUCUUAAUUAUAUUGUGCUCAAGUAACUUCGAACACAACAUUUAAUUUAAUUUUAUAUUUGCUUCGAGAGAGAGAGAGCUAUCAAAACUCACAUUCUUUAUAACAUUUGUCAAGGAUAAUACUGUCGACAUAAAUAGAUUGGGUAUUUUAAAAAUUACUUUUGGGCAUUUUACAUUAACAUAUAUAUUAUUUUUAGGUGCUCGGUUUCCGAGUAGAUCUAUAUCGCGCAUACACAACCCUAAAUACGUGUAUUCAUAUAAAUAAAUACUGGAUAAGUAUAUAGAUAAAUUAAUUUAAACUUUUUCAAAAUUCAUAUGACAUAUAAUAAUAUAUAAAUAAAAAAAAUUUUGACACAGAAAUACAACUCAUAAUAAAAUAUCAUUUUUUUAUGAGGAACGCUUUAAAUAGAAUACUUCGCAUUUAUAACAAAAAAAAAAAAUAAAAACUGUAGUUUGCACGGAAUUUAAUGCAACUGUGUCGUUUUUUAAAAUUUCGUUUCGAACUGAUUUUGUCAGCUACUUUUUAAGUUUAUUUCUGGUAUUCUGAAUUUUUUUAGCUGAUCAAAAUUCCCUAAUCUUAAUUGCUAUGAACAUAAUCAGGGAACGCGUUUGAGAGAAAAAAUGAGGGCAAUUAUCAUUAAUUACUAUAUUCCCUGUUUUUUUUUUUAAUUUAUCUGUUGAAUAUCACUUUACUGAAUUGCAGUUUACGCAACAAACCAUAAAACAUCGGGCACUGGCUCUGAUAAGAUUGUCAAGAUAAUAAUUAUAGUCCGUAGAGUCUGCGAGUUAAGAAUGUUCCACGUAUUUAUUUAGAAACAUACAUACAUGUUUGAUAACAAGUCAAUAUACAUAGCUCUUAAAACAUAAUAUUUACCUCUCAAAUAAUUGCCAUUAUAGAGUGCAGCAAACGUUUGAUUCUUCUUUAGAGCAGUAAAUAUUGUAUCACGCAAGACCUCAAAGUGCGACAUAUACUCUUGUUUGUAACGUUUUAUGUUUAUUUCUGAGUUUAUUUUUCCAAAAAUUUCGUCCAUUUUUACUGAUUAUUCAAUAUCGGUGGAAUACUAUAAUAGUAAAAUAUUUUCAAAAACUCUAAUGCUAGUCCAAUCUCCUUUAAUUAGCGGAGCUCCUUAAAUGACCGUUUAAUUAGGUGUUGGAUACGUUAGAAGUUUUUGCACUUUCAUUACGUGUUGGAUACGUUAGAAGGAAUGUUUCGAAAAUAUUUACAAUUAGGGUCUAAGAGAAUGUUUAGCCAGCUGGAUUUCUAAUAUCAUAUAGGAAAACAUCACUAAAAGCUAAAAACAGCACAUAUUACUGUUUUUGAACAAAAACAAGAAACAUCGGCUCUGGAAUUAUCUCUUGGUAUAUCUUACAAUCAUAAUUUUUGCUUUAUUCUAUAAUAAAUUCUGAUGACUUCUAAUACCAAAUUCUUUUACAAUACCAUAGUUAUUUUUUCCGGUCCAUAUACAUCGAAAACCAUUCCUUACUCUGGCAAAACGCAAUGCAAAUAAUACUUGGGGAUUGGAAUGUAAAGGGUGACCCAUGUCGAGGUUCCUUACCUUUUUAAAGAAAAUAACACAGUCAAUUCAAAUUUAAUGGGCAAUGUUUAUUAUCAUUCGAAAGAACAUUCUUUUUUUUUUUCAAGAUUAUCUCUUUCAAAUGUUGGCCGCGGCUACGUCUCAGAUGGUCUAUCCGUUGAGUCCAAUUUUCGAUUACUCGUUUAAGCAUUUCGACUGGAAGCUGGCGUGAUGUUUUGCUCCAAGGUCUAAAUCGAAGCGGGAUUGUCCUCAUAGACUUUAGACUUUACAUAUCCCAACAAGAAAAAGUCUUACAGUGUGA